CCUACGGGAGGCAGCAGUGGGGAAUAUUGGACAAUGGGGGGAACCCUGAUCCAGCGACGCCGCGUGAGUGAAGAAGUAUUUCGGUAUGUAAAGCUCUAUCAGCAGGGAAGAAAGAAAUGACGGUACCUGACUAAGAAGCCCCGGCUAACUACGUGCCAGCAGCCGCGGUAAUACGUAGGGGGCAAGCGUUAUCCGGAUUUACUGGGUGUAAAGGGAGCGUAGACGGCGCUGCAAGUCUGAAGUGAAAGGCGGGGGCUCAACCCCUGGACUGCUUUGGAAACUGUAUGGCUGGAGUGCAGGAGAGGUAAGUGGAAUUCCUAGUGUAGCGGUGAAAUGCGUAGAUAUUAGGAGGAACACCAGUGGCGAAGGCGGCUUACUGGACUGUAACUGACGUUGAGGCUCGAAAGCGUGGGGAGCAAACAGGAUUAGAUACCCUAGUAGUC
rnacentral:rRNA from 1 species